rnacentral:rRNA from 1 species
GACGAACGCUGGCGGCGUGCUUAACACAUGCAGGUCGAACGGAAAGGCCCUGCUUUUGUGGGGUGCUCGAGUGGCGAACGGGUGAGUAACACGUGAGUAACCUGCCCUUGACUUUGGGAUAACUUCAGGAAACUGGGGCUAAUACCGGAUAGGAGCUCCUGCUGCAUGGUGGGGGUUGGAAAGUUUCGGCGGUUGGGGAUGGACUCGCGGCUUAUCAGCUUGUUGGUGGGGUAGUGGCUUACCAAGGCUUUGACGGGUAGCCGGCCUGAGAGGGUGACCGGCCACAUUGGGACUGAGAUACGGCCCAGACUCCUACGGGAGGCAGCAGUGGGGAAUAUUGCACAAUGGGCGGAAGCGUGAUGCAGCAACGCCGCGUGCGGGAUGACGGCCUUCGGGUUGUAAACCGCUUUCGCCUGUGACGAAGCGUGAGUGACGGUAAUGGGUAAAGAAGCACCGGCUAACUACGUG